CCUGGUGUUCCAAAAUAUUCAUAGGCAUAGACCCUUCGGCGUCAACAGAGAAUACGAACAUCGAACACAGAAGAACAAGUCCAGGGUGCCAACACCAGAUUACAGUGUUAGAGUUGGAAGAUAGAGGACUUCAGUUUAGGAAACCAAAUACAUUUACUGCUGGGAAACUGAAACCUGACCUUGAACGGCCUUAGAGGAGUGUGUCACAAACUUGUUUGGCUGGGCAGCUUUGUUUGUGUGAAAUCGUGUGAAGUGUAAACACGGGGAACAAAAAGCUUCCUGCCUGGCCCCGAGGAGGGCUGAGGGUGAGGCCUGAGCUUGGUUUUCUCUUCUUCACAAACCGCCAGGGCUCUGGGACUUCAGCGAAACAUCGCCAGCUCGGGCUGAACAGAGGUGGCCCAGUGCGAGGGUAGGACGCUUCCCGCCGAGCUUUCCCGACUCUCGGGUCUUAUUCCAGAAAAUGAGAAAAGCAACCACUUCUUUUUCCUGCCCUCUUUUUUCUUUACUUGAAAGGGAAGACUAACUUUCUUCACAUUUAAAUGGAUUGUCCUUGUGGGUGAAAGAAACUCUACAUGCAUUGACCCAGGCGCUUGUGUGUUUGUUAUAAAAAAGGUCUUAUAAGUCACGUCGAAGAAUCCUUGUUACCAAAGAAAAACUCACAUUGGAAAUGACACUGGCCUCCCCCACAAUGCAAACACCCUUGUUUCUGGAAAAAGUCGUACUGAGCCCUGCUCACGGCUGUCAGUGGAAAAGUCCUGGACUCUGCUUCUGCGGCCCUGGGUGCUGCCGUCCAUUUUGAGCUCUUCGCAGCCCAAAGGUGGGACACAGGCAAGCAGAUGGUGAGCCCUUUUUAGGCCCCUUGCGCUGGUCAUUCAAUGCCCAGGUUCCAGCCUCCAUUCUCUCCCUUUCUGACUAGGAGGUCCCUUCCCUUCCCCUCCCAGUUCUGCUCUUUGCUGAGCCAGGCAUCUGCUGGGCUUAAGGGAAGCCAGGAGCCAGUGAGGCCUCGGACUAUGUGGGAGAAAGUCUCUCCCGCCACAGACUGGCGGAGUGCCUAGAAAUCCGCACCCUGAAAAAUGUGACUCUGGAGGACAGGUUGGUCCUUUGGGGUGGGGGGGCGUGGAGCGUGGAGAGAAAGUUUGACAUCCGUGUGAACAGGAGGUCAGGAGUGCCAAGCGGGUGGGCUGAGUCCUUCCUGCUCUGGGUCUGGGAGGGUCUGAGCAGUCAGGAGCCCCACGGCUGCCAGGCUCCCUCCAGGUUCUUCACCAAGCACUGUCAGCCUUCCUUCCGCUACCUGCCGGCCCGUGGGGGUGGGGCAGCGUCGCUGUGCCUUCGGGAGCCUGUGGCUGCCUCCUUGAGCUGCUGUGGCUUGCACUGUGUUCCCUGAUGUGACCUUAUCUGGAAAUCAGAUCUUUGCAGAUGUAAUCAAAUUAAGACAGGUCACACUGGAUUAGGGUGGGCCCUACAGCCAGUGACGGGUGUCCUUUUAAGGACAGGGAGAUUUGGGGACUGAAAGGAACACAUGGAGGGAAGACAGCCGUGUGAAGACGGAGGCCGAGAUUGGAGUGAUCUGUCUACACUGAGGAAUGCCCAGGAUUGCUGGCCACUACCACAAGCUAGAGAGAGGCAAGGGAGACUUCUUGCCUAGAGCCGUCAGAGGAAGCAUGGCCCGUCCACACUUCGAUGCCAGCCCCCUAGCCUUCAGAACCGUGAGGGAAUAAGAGUCUGUUGUUUUAGGGCAGCAGGGCCCGGUACUCGGUGAGGGCAGCCCGGUGAACGCUCGAACAACCCAAGCGUUAGAGAGACGGCCAUUCCAAAUAGACAGAGCACACACUCAGCGAGAGAGAGCUGUUGGAGGGGACGACCGUCAAUUCGAACUGAAAGAGGACAGUAAAGGGCAGCCCUCAGCGAGGCUGCGCCUUCCAUCACAGGCCCAGAGCGCAGGGACCUGGGGGCAGAGCAAUUCCAACGCAGGCGCCACUGCCACCCUGCCCCGCCGCCCACCGCGGCUCAGCCCCACGGACAGAACAGCUGGACAGAAUAUCUCAUAGGUACAAGGCUGAAAGAUCAAGUUUUCUAUGAAGGAAACAGAACCAGCCUGGCGUCUGAGCGCCUGGCUGCCGCAGCGGACGCUAGAGGGCAGGAGACCAGCAGCUGCAGGCACUGAGCUACCAUGACAGUCGAUCUGAUAACCAAGAUGGCUGCUAAGUGACUAACGGGCAGGUGGUGUACACAGUGGAUCCGUUGAACAAAGGGAUGAUUCACGUCCCAGGAGGGACAGAGCAGGAUGGUGGGAGAUUUCAUCAUGCUACUCAGAGCAGCGUGCAAUUUAAAACUUAUGAAUUGUUUAUUUCUGGAAUUUUCCAUUUAAUAUUUUCAGAUCAUGAUUGACAGCAGACAUGCCUUCUGUCAACCGAGGGCUCAGAAUUGUAAAGCUCUGCAGAGCCAUAUUUUCUGGAACACUUCUACAGGGUCACUUAUUUACACAGAGCAAAUCAAUUUUGUGGAUCUAUCAAGUAUCAAUUCCAGAUAAUGAAACUGAGUUAAGAGGCUUUUCUCUGAGGUUUUUGUCAUUAAUAACAGCAUCUGGCACACAGUGUGCUGAUCAUGAAUUUAAUCGAGUGCACUGGAAUAAGUAUGGAAAGCACUUGGCAAACAGAUAAUGUUGAAUUUCUGGAGCAAGUACAGACUUGUUACAUACAUAUGUAAGUUGUGUAUUUCUUUGAAUGUAAAAUUAUUCUUCCCUAGAAAGGUGAUUCAUCCAGUGUAUAACUAAAUGUGAUUUACUGCUUAUAGUUAUGUAAGAUUUGCAUAUUAAUAAACUCACAAGUCAGGAAGAAUCACCUUGGUAGAUCUGUGUGGCAGACAUGGAGGUGAGGUGCCCAGAUCCCCUUUCAAGAAAGGGCGUGCCGCCCAGCUUCAGGAGUGUGGUCAGCACGUGGUCCCCAGCUGCCAGCUCCUUUGGGGUCUGCCUUGGGGCAGAAAGCCUCCUUUCCCUCAAGGUCACGCCCUUCCUGGAGCAGCCCCAUUGGUGACAGUGAUAUGGGGAACACACACCCUACAUUCCAGCCUGGGUGGGACAACUCGGUGGGGCGAUGCUCGCUCCAGGGCCCCCGCUGGCUUCCUGAUGCUUCAAGGGCCUGUGUCGCAGUUGGACUUCUCCCUCUGCCCAAUCCUGCUUCCUCACCCUUCCCUUCUCAGGUCUCGAUCCCCAAGAAACAUCCUGCUCCCCAAACUCUGUCUCAGCAUCUGCUCCCGGAAAACUCAACCUGUGAUACUACGUGCGCUGGUAGUGUGAAGAAUACGGCCAAUUUAUAUCAUUGAAAAUAUCAAGUGCAGAGGAUUUGAAGAUUUUUCCUUAAAAGAAACGACGCUGAUUUCCCAGCCCUCCUGUCCCAACCCUCUUUUUACCUCUCCCAUUUCUAAAGCCUGAGAGCGUGCCACUGUCUGCAGGUUCAAGAUACUGAAGGGAAAUCAAGUCCCUCCCUGCCACCACACACUCAGCUCAGGCCCUGCGCUCCUGCAGGGUGGCACAAACUGCUCCAUCCUAAACUUUGGGUCCAGGAGAAGCAGGACAUCCUCGGCCCCAUGGGCACUUUGAGUUGAAAGGAGAAGAGCAGCCAAGUGUCGCUCCUGCCACCUGUUAUUUCUCUUCUGACAAACUUGUACUGAGCCCAUGAUCGAGCAGCAGUAAUGGUCAGUUUCUACGAGCGACAAGCAUUAGCGGUUCUGCCCAGAGUUGAUAAGGAUCACAGGCUUUUGUCAUUGAAAGGGCGCGUGACCAUUUACUGAGUCCAUCGGUUAAAAAGAUUGUAUCUUACACUUUUAGCACAACUAUCGCUGUAAUAACAUUUAAAAGCAGACAGAAAAUAACAGCUAUUUGUCUAAAUUAGUAAUACAGAUUAAGUUUGUAAUAUAAUAGACACUGUAAAUUGUCAACUUUUAAAGACAUUAGAAUAUUAAUCCUAUGUUUGAAAGCUGCUAUCCUUUAAAAUGUACUAUUUUUGUAAAAACUUCCUCCCCAACCUCAACUCUUCAGGUUAAUUAAAUACUACUGAAAAGAUCAGACUUAUUUUGUAAAAAUUCAAUUUCUGUGUUAUCGGAGGCCUUGUCCACACGCUCUAUAAAGUAUAAUGCUUCUAAAAUUAAUUUGUGUUUGUGAUAAAGGUGUCUUCCUAUUUUACUGUUAGAAAACUAUACCAGCGACCCUAUUUUUACUGAUCUGUCUGGCACAUUGAAUUUUGUGGGUUGGGUUCCAGGCAAUCUAGAUUACUGGUAAACUCAAACAGACACUUAAAAACAUAUGUAC
rnacentral:lncRNA from 1 species